rnacentral:rRNA from 1 species
UUGUGUGAAUUGCAGAAUCCCGUGAAUCAUCGAAUCUUUGAACGCAAGUUGCGCCCGAGGGCUAGGCCGAGGGCACGUCUGCCUGGGCGUCUUAAAA